AGGCCGCUCCGUCUCCACCGAAGGGAACCCUGGCCUCCUGGGGGCUCCCUGCUCUCUGCAGGCUUGUCCCUUGCAGGAGUGGACCCGGAUUUGGGGUUUCCGAAGUUUAUACAAUUUGAGGAGCACUCUUUGGAAAACUACAGGACAAACACCCCAUUAAGUACCGGACUUUGGAAAGGGCACCUGGGACGAGCGUCCCUGCAGUUGGGCUUCCCUGGCUUUAAGCCCCCGUCCUGAUGUAGCUCAAAGGACUGUCUUGAAUGUCAACUAAGAUAAUAGGCAGUGAACUUGCCCUCCGUGUCGUUGGUGCUCCACACAAGUGCCCAGGAAGGAGGCUUACCAAGAUGGACCAGAUGCAUCAGCUUCUAUGCGGAGAUCUGACGUCGCUGCUGCCAAGAGCCAACUAGAAGCGAGCAAGGACUCCGUCAGGCAGACAUGAUUCUUCUCUGCUAAGCUGUGUCUGCACCGAUGUCCCCGUGAAGCUUCAGAGCUUCUUCCUAACACUAAGGUGAGCUGCUGUUUGAAGUCAAAGCCUUGCUCUCGGAGUGGCUCCGAUGUUCUUGUCCACGGUGCUGAUGGAGAUGCCCUUGGCUCCCAGGAGCCGCCUUUCCUAACGGAGCCAGCGUUUCCUGUGACGGACAGGAAUUCUGAGCGGGAACAUUUGCUUUCUGUUCAAGUUUAUCAAAACUUCUCCCAAAACGUAGCGAACUUCAAGUAGAAGAUAGCCUCUCAGUAUUGGUCUGUUUGAAAACGCACACGUGCACAUCACGCGGCGUUUGCUUUCCUGCCUCGGUGGCGCGCUCUCUUCACGGUCUCUUUGCACACGACUUGGGAGUUCAUAGACUUUUUCAUUGCAAGCAGUCGACCCCAAGAUGGAACUAGCCUGGGCCCAAAGAGGAAUUUCUUGGAAGGGCUUGGACCAAUAAAUAAAUAAAUAAGUAAAUCCAAA